rnacentral:rRNA from 1 species
GACGAACCGUGCGAACGUUGUUCGGAAUCACUGGGCUUAAAGGGCGCGUAGGCGGAUCAUCAAGUCCGGGGUGAAAUCCCACAGCUCAACUGUGGAAGUGCCUUGGAUACUGGUGGUCUCGAGGGAGGUAGGGGCAUGUGGAACUUCCGGUGGAGCGGUGAAAUGCGUAGAUAUCGGAAGGAACGCCGGUGGCGAAAGCGACGUGCUGGACCUCUACUGACGCUGAGGCGCGAAAGCCAGGGGAGCAAACGGG